rfam:Gossypium hirsutum cultivar TM-1 chromosome 14, whole genome shotgun sequence
UGUUAAAAAUUCCAUCCAUUUAUUUUGUUAAAAACUGAUAUAAUUAAUAAAAUAAUCGGAUAGUUCAUGUUGACGUACAAAGACUAAUUUUUAAUAGUAUAAAUUGAUAAAAAUUUUAACA